ACGCGGCCCAGACGCAGCAGACGCACCACCUUCAGGGAGCUGAAGAGACUGCUGAUGCCCUUCAGACAGCAGUGGAUGUGGAGGAGCAGCAUGGGGAGAGCAGACAUGUGAAACAAAGACUGUCUUCACUACACCUGCAGAUUGCAACAUCACUGUCUCUUAUUGGGCAUCUUAACAAUGUUCACUGAACCCAAAACAACUCACAAGGACAGUGGAGAAUGACAGGAAGCGAGCGGGAGAGAGUCGGGGGUGAGCUCCAGAAAGGACCACGGGGCGGGAAUCGAAUCCGGUGCCCCAGCCAGUCGCGCCACGGCUGGGGGCUGACCAGUGGUUUUUAAUGUGUCUCUGCAAAUGCAAGAAAGACAGAAAGAAAGCUGACCUCUCCUUCUGAAUUGUAGAAUUUUUCAUAUUCCAGUUCAGUCUGUAAGAGUCUAAGCUAUAACUCCUAUGGAACUCUGGGCAUCCUCACUGGACCAACACCUGUCGUCGGCCUUUGAAAAGUUUUUCCAGAUUUAAAGAAAAUACAACUCCUAUUAGCUGGGAGUCAGGCUGAACAACUGGUCAGCCUUUCAAAUCCACACUCAGAGUGUUCAUGGUGGUCUGAAACAGUUCCACUGGAUUCAUAUUGAGCUGGGGGCAUACAGUAGUUUAAGAGAAUAAUGGAUUACAUAAUGGGCACUUUAUUUUGUGUACUAAACUUUAAAUUACUGCCAACUGCACCGGCACACUGAAGUUUUAAAGUGGAGCAGCAUAAGAGCAUGGUCUCUCAGAGGAAUUCUGCUGACUUGGAUGCCGUCGAGUCUUCACAGUUAUAGAAAUCUGGACAAUUUAUUGCCGCUCAUGUUCUGUUAUACCCACCCUGGAGAGCUAAGACUCUGGCUGUUUCUCAAAGUCAAGGUGGGAUUCUUCAAGGCUGCUAUUUGAAGGAUGUUACGUCAUCGAGUCCCGUCGAAGUACUCUUCCAGUGUCAAGCAUCCAUCAAAGGCUACCAAAUUCUAGCAAGGACAAAGUCCUUAGUUUUGCUGAAUUUUCGAGGAUGCAAGUGUGUAUGCUCUGCGUGCUCAGAACAAAUACAAUCAUGUGUACUCAUUUAUGGAGCAAGGCAGAUCACUAUGUAUUUAAAUGUAAACAUAUCCUCUUAUUGUCACUAUGUAAAGUAGCCUAAAUGAAGUAUGGGCUCAGGUAAUUUUGACAACUUUAAACUCUCACACCUUAAUUGUGUAAAAAAGGCAUUUAGGGUAUUUAAACAUUUUCCAAUGAGAGCAAUUGCAAGCUAAUUAGUGCAUUUUUCUCUUCACGAUUUUGCUUAAUGGUUGCUGCUCUGCGGUUUAUUUUAGCAAACAAAUAAAACAUGUAUAAUUUAAUUUAUUGACGUGGGAGAAUGACAGUGGUGCAUUCAUUGUUUUUCUAAUAGAAGUGGCAGGAGGCAUGAUUUUCAAUAAAGCACACCUGCAGCUCCUGCACACUCGCCAGUCUGUUCCAUUGUGUGCUUUCCUAAUGCUAAGAGGAAGCCUUUCCUCAUCUUUGAAG